AUUCCAAAUCCGGAGAGCUGAGAAACGGCAUCUCGUCGCUGCGAGAUCUCAUCGCGUCGCGUAACUUGGCUUGAUUGAUCGGACCGGACAGGACCGGUUCGCCCUAUUUCUCGUUUCUCCAGCCUUACAUCCCAGCCAGACGGAGACGGAGAAGGAGGCGGCGAUAAUGGGUUCGCCGGUGGUGUAGAUGGGAUCAGAGUUAGAGCUGUACGCUAUGCCGGCCGUCGCUGUCGGGUUUGUGAAGAAGGCGAUGUCGGAGAGCAGGGAGAAAGGGCGGCAGGUGUGGCGGCUGGAGGAGUCCAUCAAGAGUUUGGAGGAGGAGAAGCGCAAGAUCGAAGCUUACAAGCACGAGCUCUCUCUCUCUCUCUCUGCAUGCGUCUCGUCUGCGAGGGUCGGCCCGAUGCUCCUCCCUUCUGUCCUUCCCUCAUUUGAUUUCGCUAGGAUCCUUUUAGGUUAAAAUUAGUGUUCUUUUGUUUGGGAAUUUCGAUCGCGGUGAUCGAGGAGUUGAAGAGGGAGAUCGAUCGGUUCCGCGCGGAGGGUUUCGGGCGUAUGUUCCAGGAAUUCAUGCCGAUUAAGGGCAAAAUCAACGAGAGUAGCUCGGAUUUCAGAGAUAAGAAGAACUGGACGAGCUCCUUCCAACUCUGGAUCUGCGAGGAAAGUAAAGAUACCAAAAACAUGAUAAGAUGAACUUUAAAGAGAAAUCAGUAUGUGAUUCUCGGAACGGUGGAGACGCGUCCCUGCCGGUAUUGGAACUAUACAGCUCCAAGGCAGAAGAUGAGACUGCCGCCGUGUUGUCUGACCUCUCUCUGUGCUGUACCGGAUCACUCAUGGCUUUGGGAGUCCGGCCAUCAAUAACUAUCCAGUUAGUUGCCAUAAGUGUACUUAGAAUCCCCGGAAGCAUCUCUGGUGGUGGCGCCUGGCAAACACUGUGGCUUGCAUUAGCAACAGGCUGCAGAUGAGGAGGUUCUGGUCUCAGGAUCUGCAUCGGCGGUUUGUGCUCGUGAUCGCUCCUUCUUGCUCAUGGUAAGACCUCAGUUGAAUCAAUUGCUAGGAGGCUGAUGGAUAGUUCCUGCAAGAUGAUAUUUAGUCCCACAUCUAAAAUUUCACAUUCUUCGAUUAGUAUAAAAUAUAACUAUACAAUUUAUAAAACAUAACCCAUGAAAUGAAGUGAUAGGAUCGUAAGAUCUAGGAAAAUCCCCGGGUCAUCCGUCGCAGUGAUGUGGCCGUGUAAUUAUGGUCCAUUAAAUCGGAUUGUAUCCCACCUUUGGGAGGGCAUGAGACAUGUGUGGAGCCUUUCAAUCAGAUUGUGGAUUCAUGACCAUUCCCUAUAGUAAUUCACUUGUCCUUAUAAAAAGGUUAACAGAACGGGGUUUAUAUUCUCAUGAGUAAAUUUUUUCUUUAAUUCAAAAAUAUAAUUAGUUAUAUACAAAGGAGAUGGGAAGUUCUUAUUAUUGCUGAGUAAAGUUGUUAGGUAGGUCAGGUUAGUCAUUAAAAACUCAUCAUCUUGUAGGAUGGUCUGAAUCGAUCCACCAGGUGAGGCCGUGUAAUUAUGGUCCAUUAAAUCGGAUUGUAUCCCACCUUUGGGAGGGCAUGAGACAUGUGUGGAGCCUUUCAAUCAGAUUGUGGAUUCACGAUCAUUCCCUAUAGUAAUUCACUUGGCCUUAUAAAAAGGUUAACAGAACAGGGUUUAUAUUCUCAUGGGUAAAUUUUUUUUUUAAUUCAAAAAUAUAAUUAGUUAUAUACAAAGGAGAUGGGAAGUUCUUAUUAUUGCCGAGUAAAGUUGUUAGGUAGGUCAGGUUAGUCAUUAAAAACUCAUCAUCUUGUAGGAUGGUCUGAAUCGAUCCACCAGGUGAGUUAGAAAAUUUCUAAUUGAGACCAACUCAAAAUAAAUGCAAUUUGGUUUAAUUUUUCAAGUUUAUAGUGAAUUGUCUAACGAAAACGAUAACGAUAACGAUCGCGGAUUUUGAAAUAGAAGUCGUCAGAAACUCCGAACCAGGUAAAACCAAUCUAUGUCAAGUUUUAUUUUGUUGCAUUUAUUAUUAUUUGUUUUUCUUUUCGAGUUCUUGUGAAAAACAUGAAAAAAAUCACGAUCACUAUUCACCCCUCCCUCUCUUCUAGCGCUUUCAAUCCUACACAUUGAUUAAUUCUAUUAUACACAUCCUAACAAAUGAACUAAUCAUUAGAUUAGGCAUGAACUAAUCAUUUUCAAAUUUAUUAACACAUAACAUAAUAUUUUAUAAAAUAAUUCUGUUCGUAUAUAACGACAUAAAAAUUAUUACAUAACUCAUAAAUUAAAUGAGCUUAUUACUGUUCAUACAUAAUGACAAAACAAUAGAAUUUUAAUAAAAUAGAAAUUGGAGCAAAACCAAGUUAUCCUGGACUGGAGACUCUUCUCGUUCGAGGUUCUAGAAUAAUCGAUUAAGUUGUCCAAUAUGUCCUUGGAGUCCAUGAACUGGGUCAAACUCCAUCUCUUCAAUCUGCUCCCUUAGCUCAUUCAUUGUACGUCACGAUGGGUCAUUGUGUAUAUCAUCGUCGACAUCUAGAAUUGAAAAUAAUAAUAUCAGUAUAAAAUUGACAAACCAAUAACACAACCAAUUCAAUUCAAGAGACAAGGCGGCCUGCUACAGGGUAGUAGGGACAAGGACAAAGCUUCCCGGAUGACCAAUUAAUUAGUCUUUUUCUUAUUCUUAACCUAACACUAUUAAACAUUUCGUUGUGUAAAUAUUUUUUUUGGUGCAUUCGUACAGUACAAUUUUUUUUUUCUAAGCCGUUUGAUUGAGUUUCUUUUAUUUUCGCAUCACUUUAAUUUU